CCUACGGGGUGCAGCAGUGGGGGAUAUUGCACAAUGGGGGAAACCCUGAUGCAGCGACGCCGCGUGGGUGAAGAAGCGCCUCGGCGCGUAAAGCCCUGUCAGCAGGGAAGAAAAUGACGGUACCUGAAGAAGAAGCCCCGGCUAACUACGUGCCAGCAGCCGCGGUAAUACGUAGGGGGCAAGCGUUAGCCGGAUUUACUGGGUGUAAAGGGGGCGCAGACGGCGAUGCAAGCCAGGAGUGAAAGCCCGGGGCCCAACCCCGGGACUGCACUUGGAACUGCGUGGCUAGAGUGCAGGAGGGGCAGGCGGAAUUCCUGGUGUAGCGGUGAAAUGCGUAGAGAUCAGGAGGAACACCGGUGGCGAAGGCGGCCUGCUGGACUGCAACUGACGUUGAGGCCCGAAAGCGUGGGGAGCAAACAGGAUUAGAUACCCUAGUAGUC
rnacentral:rRNA from 1 species